GCGUUAGUACAGCUAAGAGCUUAUUCGAGAUUGUUGUUUUUUCUUUUAAAAAUACUCGUAACUCGGAGGAGGAAAGAAGCUCAGGAUGACCCAGUGUCAAUUGAUCAAGAAGUUGUGAAGUGGACUACGAAAAAAGUUGUUUGAUGGCAUCUGGAGGCGCUCAUCUCAUUGGGAAUUCACCAAGGCCUAAAAAGAAAUAGCAGAAGCAAAAUUGAAAACAAGCCAUUGUUAUGUUAUACGGAGGUUCCACGAGAAAAAGGCAAUCUACAUGGAGGGCGAACGCCGGACGGCCGAGAUGAGGAUAUAAGAAUUCAUCCUUUCUCACCCCGGGGGGCGAAAAGGGGCGAGCGGGGGUGAAAGACGGACGACGCCAUUCCAAAAACCCAUUAUACCAGCACGGAGCUGUUUUCUAUCUCGAAGCCCGCGCCAACCUCUUUCCCCCCACUUCCCCCCAUUCCCCCCGGGAUUCUCAACUUUGUUUAUGAAAAUUACCCAUUAAAGUGGCUAUGGAAGUAACGCUGUUGCCACUCCAGAAAUUAAUAAGGAAAUUGAUAUUGGAUUAUUUUUUGGAGAAUUUUUCGUUUUUAGGCUGUUGUAAUGUUUCUGCCUGUGAUAUGACUAAUCGAAAGUUGUAUGUUUCUUUACUAAAGAAAAUUCUAAUAGUUCUACCGUUCAUAUUUUU